CCCUCCUUUCCUGCUUCGCAGCUUUUUCAAGCCUUUCUUCUACCUAUCAUCCGAAAACAAAAAGGAAUUAUGGGUUUGGUCAACUGGUCUCUGAACGCAAUUGACACUAUUUUUUCCACAUUAAGAUUGGAAUGAGGGGAACAUAGCUGUCCCAAUGGAAUAGUUGCUGCUGGUCGGGUCAGUGGUUCUUGGGGCUGGAACCUGAUCUGUUUGGCGCCACUUUCCAUUGAAGAUGUGGAAGAUUUGUACAUAUUUGGAUAUAUGAUAACUGGAUUCCUGCUGAUCGGCGGAGGUGGAUAUCUAGCUUAUCGGAAAAUGAAAGCGAUCCUGACAGCUGUCCGGGCCUAUGAGAAGCUGCCAGGAACCAUGGACGGAAUCUCUCGCUCCGGAAACGCACAGACUCAGAUGCUGGGGGAAACAAGACGCAAACUGGAUGUGAUUAUGACAAGAAUCGUAGCUCAGCAGCGUGCCCAUGAGAUGUAGGAUUACACCUGGGUGAAGAUUCAGWUGGAAAAAAGCGAGGAGAUCCCAGCAGCUUCUGGCCUUGGUCAGUCAGCAGUUAUCAAAAUUUCCCUGGA